GACGAACGCUGGCGGCGUGCUUAACACAUGUAAGUCGAACGGAAAGGCCUUUUCGGAGGUACUCGAGUGGCGAACGGGUGAGUAACACGUGGGUGAUCUGCCCUGCACUCUGGGAUAAGCCUGGGAAACUGGGUCUAAUACCGGAUAGGACCGCACUUUAGUGUGUGUGGUGGAAAGUUUUUUCGGUGUAGGAUGAGCCCGCGGCCUAUCAGCUUGUUGGUGGGGUAAUGGCCUACCAAGGCGGCGACGGGUAGCCGGACUGAGAGGUUGGUCGGCCACAUUGGGACUGAGAUACGGCCCAGACUCCUACGGGAGGCAGCAGUGGGGAAUAUUGCACAAUGGGCGCAAGCCUGAUGCAGCGACGCCGCGUGGGGGAUGACGGCCUUCGGGUUGUAAACUCCUUUCGCCAGGGACGAAGCGUUUUGUGACGGUACCUGGAGAAGAAGCACCGGCUAACUACGUG
rnacentral:rRNA from 1 species